GAUGAAGAACGCAGCGAAAUGCGAUAAGUAGUGUGAAUUGCAGAAUUCAGUGAAUCAUCGAAUCUUUGAACGCACAUUGCGCCCCUUGGUAUUCCAUGGGGCAUGCCUGUUCGAGCGUCAUUUGUACCCUCAAGCUCUGCUUGGUGUUGGGCGUUUGUUCCGCUGUGCGCGUGAACUCGCCUUAAAUUAAUUGGCAGCCGGCAAUCUGGUGUUUGAGCGCAGCACAUUUUGCGCUCUUCGCUGUAUUGCGGCGUCCAUAAAGCCUAUAUUUAUGCGCUUGACCUCGGAUCAGGUAGGGAUACCCGCUGAACUUAAGCAUAUCAAUAAGCGGAGGA
rnacentral:misc_RNA from 1 species